UGUUCCUAAUAGUUUUCCAUUCAGUCUCUGAUCUUAAAACAUUUCUGAUUUCAGGCGCUUCAUUGGUAUCAACCCAGAGAGAGGAACAAAGGCCAUCCGGGGCAAGGUUGUCUCCAAGAAGACGGCUGUGAUCGUCCAGAAGAAGUCUGCCACAGUCAACACACACGUCUCCACACUACUGAAGAACCUCCUUGACUUUGAAUCGGACUGACGUUGCCACAUUAUGCCACAAGACACUUUGUGGCAACACUGGUAAGGACAGGAACAAGGACCAGCAAGGUGAUGGUCAUCUUUACCUGAACUAGAAGAUUCCUCUUUGUAUCAGGACUGUCCACACCCACCCAGAAUCUUCCUGAAGUUAAGCAUGCACCUACCUCACAGGACUAUUUCAAGAGGCAAAACACAAGCCCCACAUUUUUCUACUGGUGCAUAUUUUCUAAAUGGUCUUAAUGAUGCAUAUUUUCCAAAUGUUGCUAAUGAUGCAUAUUUUCAAAAUGGUCUUAAUGCACAUUUAAAAAAUGUUCUUACUGAUGUAUAUUUUCAAAAUGUUCUUAAUAGUACAGUGUGUUUUCUAAAUGUUGCUUAUAAUGCAUUUGUUCAAAAAUGGUCUUACUGAUGCAUAUUUUCACAGACAGCAGAGAAUACAAUAUUGCAGUAAAUUUAGAUAUUUUAAACUGCUUUUUGAGAGAACAUAAACCUCACAGGAUUAUUUAUAGGUUAAACACUUAUGUCCUCUGUAUUAGUUGCCUUGGUAUUCCGCCAAAUUGUUUGAUCCCAGGUCAAGUACAAGUUUGGUAAGACAAGUCACAUAUAACAAUAAUUUGGAAGGAGUUACAACUGAUGUCUCAGGUGUUUUCACGUUUGGUAAGGUGCAGUCUCUGACAUGCAAUGUAAUAAUUUCAGUUUAUUGCCAUUGUUUCACUUUUAGGCAGUUUAAUUUAGCUGCUCUACAUGUCUUUAGCUUGUUUCUAGGGUUGUCACGAUACCAGAAAUGUAGUAGUCGAUACCAAUAGUGAAUUUCCACGAUUCUCAAUACCAAAUUUAGAUACCACUGUAAAAAACAAAAACAAAACCAUAGAUAACCAUGUACUUCAACAUACACUCCUUUAAUUACCGUUUGCAUACUGUUUUUUUUCAGGAAGUUAAACAGGUCAUAAUUCCCUCUCUAUUAUCUAUGUUAUAUUGCUGUGAAAACAUCUCAUUCAAACAGCUGUAUUUAUUCAAGUUUCUCCUCAAAAAGUACAUUUUACAUGAUUACAUUUGAACACAUGAUAACGUUAGAAUUUACCUUCGCCCAAUACUCAUUUUUAUUGAACACAUCAUAAUGUAACCCAAUGAUUAACGUUGGCUGUUAGCUCUGCAGGACUGUGCUGCUUACCGGCUGCUAACUGCUAACAGCUAACAUUAGCUCUCGUCCUGCCUAUUUCAACACUGGGGGAAAAAAUAGGGUGCGUCCCCUGGACGUGUCAAUAGUGAGUUUACUGCAUUUCCAACACAUUUUCUACGAGACGCCACACCGCUAGUCUCAAAGUAUUGGUUCUCGUUACAUCCCUACUUGUUUCUCUGGGUCUUCCAACCGCUUCUUUUCUUUUUUUUACAGUAGCAGAAUUUAUGUUGCCACUGCCUUUUUAAAUAAAAGUGUGUUUGCAUUAAAUCCUUUCCAAAUUGUUUAUUGCUUAUUUUGCAUUAUUUUCAUAAUAAUGCAUAUUUUAAGCGGAUGUCUGUAGCCAACUGAACAAUACAUAUUUUAUGUUAAUUUAAUUAAUAAUGGAUUUUUAGGUAUUCUAAACUGCUAAAUUGAGUUGUUGUAUUAUCAAUCAAGUAAUCUACUGGCAACCCCCUAACCAGAAUGUUACUGUGAAUCAUUAAAUGUUCUACAGUAAUAAACUGAAAUUGUUCAACAAUAUGAAUACUGUAGAAUUUCAGUUUAUUGCUGGCGUCUCUGCUGCCAGUAUUUUACUGUUAAUUGAAAAGAUACAGCAGUAUACUGUAUUUUAUUUUUACAGUGAGAGGCUGUAAAGUCAUUUCACAGUAUGAGUACUGUAGUAUUACAUUAAAUUGCUGGCGUCUGUGCUGCCAGCACUUUACUGUUAUUUGACAGGAAAAUGUGUUGCAGUGUACAUCUGAUAUCUAACUCCUUCAGCCUACUUUCAGCUGCAGAAACCAUUCAACUAUUAAAUUAUUCAGCUAUUUCAGGACAUUG